UUGAGUCGGUCUCGGUCGGUCUAUAACUGCGUGACUGUGACAGCAUUAGCCAUUUACGCUCUGGUAUCCCAGCCUGUCUGCCCUGCAAAGAUGAAGACUCUCCUGCUCACAUUUGUUAUCGUGCUCCUGGUCGGGGAGGCUCUCAGCUGUCCCCCACAACCAACAGAAGCUCCAGACACCCAGUGUUGUGACCCAGACCCGUGUGAUUCUGCCACUUGUGCCGCGAACCCCGGCGCUACCUGCAAGGCUGACGACUGUGACAGCUGUACUGCAGUCUUCUACGACAGCGAUGACAACGUGGUUACUUGCUAAGAGGUGCGGGGCGCUGGUUUUGCAGGAGGAAAGAUCUGAAUGCUCUUCCGGAUGAGGCCAUACCAGUAUAGAUGCUACCUGCGGCCAAACCACAACAUACGUUCCAGUAUCCAAGUCUUUGUAAAAUGUUAGAAUCACCAGACAGUGUAAUCGCGAUAGAAGCUUUCCUAAUGUUUAAAGUGCUUAUGUCCCCAAAAUACAACAUUUUUUAGUCAGCUGUUAGCUAUAUCAAGGAGGCUAAAACCUC